rnacentral:lncRNA from 9 species
UUUGAAAUCAAGGGACAGAUGUGGUCUGGCUGUCCUGGGUGACAGUGAGAUUGUCACCACUGUGGCACAUGAAGAGCAGAGCAAAGCUCCUUUGUCACGUGCUGUGCCUGGUGGCAACUGGGCGAGCAGGGGUCUUGGCCUGACGUGUGGCAACCCUCCCUGCCCCAGCAGCAGCAACCCAAAGAGACGCCACCUGCCCUGAGGCUCUGGGGAAGGGCAUUUGAGGAGGUGGCCCUGCUGCCCUGCCAGUCAGGGAACUGGGUGCUGCUCUGGCAGCCGGACGCUCCAGCAGCUGCUUGGCCUCCCAGGCCGUGGCCAGCCUUGGGUCAGCCAGGUCACAGAGCAGCCGGCCCCUAAAUCAUUCCGGGCCUGCCCAAGGCGGGGGGGCUUCCGCUCCAGGUGGGUGACCGGCGGCCCUUGCUAUCAUCUCCGAAGUCUGCUUCCUCUUCCCUCCGCUGGCUCCUCCAACCUCCCUGGGCGGCCUCCUCUCUCUCUGGUGGAGCCUGCAGCUUCCGGAGGCCUCCAUGCGGGAGCCACAAAAUGCCAUCGAGAGGAGCCUGUGCUGUUGGGGAGCUCUGGAGCCCCCGUCUGCAGGGCUGACAGCUGAGAAGCCCAGAGGGCCUGCAUCCUGGAUGCAAACCUGCGCCAGCCCCCGCUGAGUUUCCUCCACCGCAGCCCCGGUAACUUGCCCCAGGACCCUCUUCUGGCUUUCGCUUUUGCGCCAUGCCCCUCCCUCCCUCACUGAGGUCAGCACAGAGGGUCCCUGUCCCCACACAGCCAGGAAAGGGGUGUGUCCCACUUGCCUCUUCACCCCGCAUUCUCACUGGCGAGAUGCCCCCGGAGACAGGCUGUGUUGCCCCCUUGGCUCCGCUCCCUGUUCCUUCCCAUUCACUGGGCUCCCGGCCACCCCGAUGGGGCCUGUUUAAUUGAUUCAAUUUGUCCAACAGUAAAAACACUCUGCAGAUGUCAGCCUCCCACCACCCCACUCCCAGGGAGCCAGCAGACACCUGCCAAGGCCCUGAGGCUGGGAGUCCUUCCAGGGGCCACUACAGCCAGGCUGCGGGGGAGGCCUCUGACCCUGAUGCUGCUUGCUGGGAGCUGGAGUGGGUGGCCCAGCACCCCAGAGCCAAGGAGUCACACCGAGUGAGGGCGUGCUCCACCCGUGACAUGAAGAAGCGUUCUGGACACCAAUCAGGCAGUGACAUACGGUGUGAGUGAAACCCAGGUGUGUCCUUGCAGAGGUACCUCCCCCUCGCCCCCCACCCCCACCCCCCUGCUUUAGGGCCGCACUCCCAGCACAGGGAGG